rnacentral:rRNA from 1 species
AGAUACCCUGGUAGUCCACGCCGUAAACGAUGUCGACUAGCCGUUGGGCUCCUUGAGAGCUUUGUGGCGCAGUUAACGCGAUAAGUCGACCGCCUGGGGAGUACGGCCGCAAGGUUAAAACUCAAAUGAAUUGACGGGGGCCCGCACAAGCGGUGGAGCAUGUGGUUUAAUUCGAUGCAACGCGAAGAACCUUACCUACCCUUGACAUCGUGCGAACUUUCCAGAGAUGGAUUGGUGCCUUCGGGAGCGCACAGACAGGUGCUGCAUGGCUGUCGUCAGCUCGUGUUGUGAAAUGUUGGGUUAAGUCCCGUAACGAGCGCAACCCUUGUCCUUAUUUGCCAGCGAGUCAUGUCGGGAACUCUAAGGAGACUGCCGGUGACAAACCGGAGGAAGGUGGGGACGACGUCAAGUCAUCAUGGCCCUUACGGGUAGGGCUACACACGUGCUACAAUGGCCGGUACAAAGGGUUGCGAAGCCGCGAGGUGGAGCUAAUCCCGAAAAGCUGGUCUCAGUCCGGAUCGGAGUCUGCAACUCGACUCCGUGAAGUCGGAAUCGCUAGUAAUCGUGAAUCAGAAUGUCACGGUGAAUACGUUCCCGGGCCUUGUACACACCGCCCGUCACACCAUGGGAGUGGACUGCACCAGAAGUGGUUAGCCUAACUUCGGAGGGCGAUCACCACGGUGUGGUUCAUGACUGGGGUGAAGUCGUAACAA